GACGAACGCUGGCGGCGUGCCUAACACAUGCAAGUCGAACGGAAAGGCCCUGCUUUUGUGGGGUGCUCGAGUGGCGAACGGGUGAGUAACACGUGAGUAACCUGUCCUUGACUUUGGGAUAACUUCAGGAAACUGGGGCUAAUACCGGAUAGGAGCUCCUGCUGCAUGAUGGGGGUUGGAAAGUUUCGGCGGUUGGGGAUGGACUCGCGGCUUAUCAGCUUGUUGGUGGGGUAGUGGCUUACCAAGGCUUUGAAGGGUAGCCGGCCUGCGAGGGUGACCGGCCAAGUUGGGACUGAGAUACGGCACAGACUCCUACGGGAGGCAGCAGUGGGGAGUAUUGCACAAUAGGCGGAAGCCUGAUGCAGCAACGCCGCGUGCGGGAUGACGGCCUUCGGGUUGUAAACCGCUUUCGCCUGUGACGAGGCGUGUGUGACGGUAAUGGGUAAAGAAGCACCGGCUAACUACGUG
rnacentral:rRNA from 1 species